rnacentral:lncRNA from 1 species
CAAUCAUCAUCGGAUUUGCAACGGUGUCAGGCACCUCACGUUUUCUGUGUGGCCAAUAGCCAAAGCAUGACACCUCACGUUUUAUUCAACCAAAUUGUAGUAACGUGACACUUUACAUUUCUCAGUAAAGAUAAUGGCUUUGCAAUGAUGGGAAAAGUAAUUAAUUAGAUUACUCCGUUACUGAAAAUUAUACUCUGUUAGUAACGCUGUUAUACUGAAACGCCGUUACUUCCAAUACUGGUCAUUACAGUGUGCAUGCUCCUACCUUCAACCCAACUUGUAUGCUUGUUAAUGUAGCAGGAUGCAGUUAUCUGGCUCAUGCCUCCCUAAGUGACGCUUAAUUUGCUGCAGCUGUGAGUGGUUCUGGGAAGUUAACUUUGAGCCAAUCGCGAGGACUACUCCCCUUUAUAAACCGGGACUUUUCUUUUGACAAAUGAUGCCACCGGUACGCGACUUGUCUUGUUUACCUGCCCAGCGACCUGAUGUCUGCCUGGUUACCGGUCUACGGUAGUGCCGCAGAAUCCCCGGUCUGGCAGCAGCCCUUUUACCAGCUGAGUGUGCGCCCUGUGAUCAGCAAUCAGAGCUCAGGGCCUGUGACGCAACGUUGUUAAUCAUAAGGAAUGCUAUUUAACCGGGGGUGCGGCCGCCAGUUGGGUGCUGAGAACUGCCAGUGGGAGCGGUGCCCCUUGUGGUGGUGGGUCCCUUGGUGUGUGCUGUGGGUGUGUGUUCACCAAGUGUGGUCAUUUCCCUUGUGGUGUGUGUGUGAAUUCGACACUGGUGAUUGGGGUGUCUUAUGAAUGCUCAUUGCUCGUGCCACUAGUCUCCCACUGGUAAGAUUCUGCCCUGUUCUCCUCUUCUCGUGUGUGUGUGUGUGUUUUGGUUUUUGAUUUGGUGUACUGUGUAUUUUGUUUGCUGUGAAGAUUCCCUUCUAUGUUUGCUGUGAUUAUUGUGUGUUUUUAAGUAAAAAUAAAAAUUUCUAUUUUUGUACUGGACCACUGUCUCUGGCUGAUCCAUCCACAAACUUGAGUGCCUGGUUAGAACAAGAUAACAAAUUCUUUGGGUGUAACUCCCAUUGUGGCGUAGUCUGCUACUGUGUAUCCCUUCCUGCCACAUUAACUUGAAUUUACAAAUUGAAUUUAUAAUCAAUUCUAGGUUGGUCCUACAAUUGUUGAACCAUCUUUUCACUAGUUAUGCCGACAUUUUUGCAUUUAAUGGUCUAACUUUUUUUACAGUGUAUAAUAUAAUAGUUAUUAUAUCCAAGUUGUCUGUCUGGAACACGGCAUUAGUUUAACGUCAAUAAUCAAUCGUGUAACUACAAUUACGAGCCAUUCUAUAAGGUGACAUUUCAGCACUUAACAAACGGAUAGCGACUCCUAAGUAGCACUUAAAGCACAGCUACAUGCGAUUGCUGUAUGUGCAUUGUUGGGAAAUGCACGUGGAACAAUAAUGAACAAUUGUAAAAUUACUCUUAGAAAAUGCACUUAAGCGCUAAGAUCAGUCAUUAUUGGGAAACCCGGCCCUGUC